AACGAACACAUGAACAUAAGUUGUAUGAAAUUUGCUGUAUAUCCAAAUACCAGAUCUGCAUGUAUGUCCCAUUGUAAUGAAUAUCAACGUUGUUUAAAUCAAUGUUGAAGGUUUUUUGUUGUAAAUGGCCCAGGUGAGUAUUGGGGUUUCUCGAUGACAUCCAACUCUGCAGAGAUGUCAGCAAAACUGUUGCCCGUUGGAACAAAUGUCCACGAUCGAACCAAUACGCGUGACAUAUCGGCAUUAAUUUUCCACGCUAUUGUCACAUUUUCUUCUGGGAGAACAACAAAGGUAUCACCACGAUCGA